rnacentral:rRNA from 1 species
UACGUAGGGUGCGAGCGUUAAUCGGAAUUACUGGGCGUAAAGCGUGCGCAGGCGGUUUUGUAAGUCAGGCGUGAAAUCCCCGGGCUCAACCUGGGAAUGGCAUUUGGGACUGCAAGGCUGGAGUGCGGCAGAGGAGACUGGAAUUCCUGGUGUAGCAGUGAAAUGCGUAGAUAUCAGGAGGAAUACCGAUGGCGAAGGCAGGUCUCUGGGCUGACACUGACGCUCAUGCACGAAAGCGUGGGGAGCAAGCAGG